rnacentral:rRNA from 1 species
UACGUAGGGGGGCUAGCGUUGUCCGGAUUUAUUGGGCGUAAAGAGCGUGUAGGCGGCCAGGUAGGUCCGGUGUGAAAACUCGAGGCUUAACCUCGAGAUGUCAUCGGAAACCAUCUGGCUAGAGUCCGGAAGAGGAAAGUGGAAUUCCUGGUGUAGCGGUGAAAUGCGCAGAUAUCAGGAAGAACACCAAUGGCGAAAGCAGCUUUCUGGGACGGUACUGACGCUGAGACGCGAAAGCGUGGGGAGCGAACAGG